GCCCAGGUCGCCAAGCCCGGUAUGGCGGCGGUCUCGAAAACCGCUGGCUGGAAGGCCUCGCAGGUUCAAAUCCUGCCCUGGGCG
rfam:Euryarchaeota archaeon RBG_19FT_COMBO_69_17 rbg_19ft_combo_scaffold_342, whole genome shotgun sequence.